AGAGUUUGAUCAUGGCUCAGAACGAACGCUGGCGGCAGGCCUCAAACAUGCAAGUCUAGGGGGUGUAGCAAUACAUCACCGGCGGACGGGUGCGUAACGCGUGGGAAUAUACCUAUUGGUUCGGAACAACUGAGGGAAACUUCAGCUAAUACCGGAUGAGCCCUAACGGGGAAAGAUUUCUCGCCAAUAGAUUAGCCCGCGUCCGAUUAGCUAGUUGGUGGGGUAAAAGCCUACCAAGGCGACGAUCGGUAGCUGUUCUGAGAGGAAGAUCAGCCACACUGGGACUGAGACACGGCCCAGACUCCUACGGGAGGCAGCAGUUGGGAAUCUUGGACAAUGGGGGAAACCCUGAUCCAGCCAUGCCGCGUGAGUGAUGAAGGCCUUCGGGUUGUAAAACUCUUUCGACGGGGACGAUAAUGACGGUACCCGUAGAAGAAGCUCCGGCUAACUUCGUGCCAGCAGCCGCGGUAAUACGAAGGGGGCUAGCGUUGUUCGGAAUUACUGGGCGUAAAGCGCGCGCAGGCGGUCUUCCAAGUCAGUGGUGAAAGCCCGGAGCUCAACUCCGGAAUUGCCAUUGAGACUGUGAGACUGGAGUACGAGAGAGGUGAGUGGAAUUCCCAGUGUAGAGGUGAAAUUCGUAGAUAUUGGGAAGAACACCGGUGGCGAAGGCGGCUCACUGGCUCGUAACUGACGCUCAGGCGCGACAGCGUGGGGAUCAAACAGGAUUAGAUACCCCUGUAGUCC
rnacentral:rRNA from 1 species